GCCUUCGUGGUGUAGUGGUCAGCACGCUUGACGUAUAUUCGAGAGGUCCGUAGUUCAAUUCCCGGUGAGGGCA
rnacentral:tRNA from 1 species